rnacentral:rRNA from 1 species
GGUUAAGUGAAUAAGGGCGCACGGUGGAUGCCUUGGCACUAGGAGCCGAUGAAGGACGGGACUAACACCGAUAUGCUUUGGGGAGCUGUACGUAAGCUAUGAUCCAGAGAUUUCCGAAUGGGGGAACCCAACAUCUUUAAUAGGAUGUUACGAUUGUGUGAAUACAUAGCACAUUCGAGGUAGACGCAGAGAACUGAAACAUCUAAGUACCUGCAGGAAGAGAAAGAAAAUUCGAUUCCCUGAGUAGCGGCGAGCGAAACGGGAAAAGCCCAAACCAGCAAGCUUGCUUGUUGGGGUUGUAGGACUCCAAUAUGGUAGUUCUUUCAGAUAGUCGAAUGACUUGGAAAAGUCAGUCAAAGAGGGUAAAAACCCCGUAGACGAAAUGUGGAAGACACCUAGGAGGAUCCUGAGUACGGCGGAACACGAGAAAUUCCGUCGGAAUCCGGGAGGACCAUCUCCCAAGGCUAAAUACUCCCUAGUGACCGAUAGUGAACCAGUACCGUGAGGGAAAGGUGAAAAGCACCCCGGAAGGGGAGUGAAAUAGAACCUGAAACCGUGUGCCUACAACAAGUCAAAGCCCGUUAAUGGGUGAUGGCGUGCCUUUUGUAGAAUGAACCGGCGAGUUACGAUUGCAUGCGAGGUUAAGUUGAAGAGACGGAGCCGCAGCGAAAGCGAGUCUGAAUAGGGCGUUUGAGUAUGUAGUCGUAGACCCGAAACCAUGUGAUCUACCCAUGUCCAGGUUGAAGGUGCGGUAAAACGCACUGGAGGACCGAACCCACGUACGUUGAAAAGUGCGGGGAUGAGGUGUGGGUAGCGGAGAAAUUCCAAACGAACUUGGAGAUAGCUGGUUCUCUCCGAAAUAGCUUUAGGGCUAGCCUCGGAAUUGAGAAUGAUGGAGGUAGAGCACUGUUUGGACUAGGGGCCCAUCUCGGGUUACCGAAUUCAGAUAAACUCCGAAUGCCAUUCAUUCAUAUCCGGGAGUCAGACUGUGAGUGAUAAGAUCCAUAGUCGAAAGGGAAACAGCCCAGACCACCAGCUAAGGUCCCAAAAUAUAUGUUAAGUGGAAAAGGAUGUGGGGUUGCACAGACAACUAGGAUGUUGGCUUAGAAGCAGCCACCAUUUAAAGAGUGCGUAAUAGCUCACUAGUCGAGUGACCCUGCGCCGAAAAUGUACCGGGGCUAAACAUAUUACCGAAGCUGUGGAGUACACCUUUAGGUGUAUUGGUAGGAGAGCGUUCUAAGGGCGUUGAAGGCAGAUCGUGAGGACUGCUGGAGCGCUUAGAAGUGAGAAUGCCGGUAUGAGUAGCGAAAGACAGGUGAGAAUCCUGUCCACCGAAUGACUAAGGUUUCCUGGGGAAGGCUCGUCCGCCCAGGGUUAGUCGGG